UAGGAACAUCCCGAAAAAUCCUACAAGAUAAUUAUCAAUCACUUCAAAAGAACACUUAAAACUACCUCAAAACUUAACAUGUAAGUUUAAAAUUAAAGUGGUUGCAUGCAGGCAUCAACUAUCAGCAGGCAAAAACAUAAGACCCUUAUAAUGAAACGAGUAGAAAGCCAAAAAGAAAAAUUCAAAUCAACUGAAAUUAAAUAAAAAAUUAGUCCAAAGAGCAAAAGUUCAAAAAAGGGCAAAAAUAUGCACAUGAACAACAAGCAGAUCCAAAAAUGAUGAGAAUCAGAAAUCUUGAUAUAAGAAAAGAAAAGCAGGACAGAGAAUGCAUUUUCAAUGAAAUAUUUGAAAUUGUAGAAAUAUCUCGAAGCAACAAUGAUCAAGGUAAAUAAGAACAUGAAAGCCAGUAAACGGAUAAGGAGAAAGUUUGAAGUUUAAGUUACUUAGAAUACCAUAACAUUGACAAAGAAAGAUGCAAAACCGGUGAUUGCAUCACACCAGCAAGGAUAAGAAAGAGAAGAGCAGAGGGAAGACAACGAGUAUGCAAGGCAGCAAGCAAGAAUUGGAACAAAAUAUAAGAUCAACCUGACCACUUACCACUCACCACAGUACUAAAGCAACAAUCAAAGAGCA
rnacentral:misc_RNA from 1 species